rfam:Pongo abelii chromosome 4.
CCAAAGGCUCUUUUCAGAGCCAUCGUUUUCCUUGGCCAAUAGGGG